rnacentral:rRNA from 1 species
UACGAAGGGGGCUAGCGUUGUUCGGAAUUACUGGGCGUAAAGCGCGCGCAGGCGGUCCUUUAAGUCAGGGGUGAAAGCCCAGAGCUCAACUCUGGAACUGCCUUUGAAACUAGAGGACUUGGGUACGGGAGAGGUGAGUGGAAUUCCGAGUGUAGAGGUGAAAUUCGUAGAUAUUCGGAAGAACACCAGUGGCGAAGGCGGCUCACUGGCCCGGUACUGACGCUCAUGUGCGAAAGCGUGGGGAGCAAACAGG